GAUGAACGCUGGCGGCGUGCCUAAUACAUGCAAGUCGAGCGAACGGACGAGAAGCUUGCUUCUCUGAUGUUAGCGGCGGACGGGUGAGUAACACGUGGAUAACCUACCUAUAAGACUGGGAUAACUUCGGGAAACCGGAGCUAAUACCGGAUAAUAUUUUGAACCGCAUGGUUCAAAAGUGAAAGACGGUCUUGCUGUCACUUAUAGAUGGAUCCGCGCUGCAUUAGCUAGUUGGUAAGGUAACGGCUUACCAAGGCAACGAUGCAUAGCCGACCUGAGAGGGUGAUCGGCCACACUGGAACUGAGACACGGUCCAGACUCCUACGGGAGGCAGCAGUAGGGAAUCUUCCGCAAUGGGCGAAAGCCUGACGGAGCAACGCCGCGUGAGUGAUGAAGGUCUUCGGAUCGUAAAACUCUGUUAUUAGGGAAGAACAUAUGUGUAAGUAACUGUGCACAUCUUGUCGGUACCUAAUCAGAAAGCCACGGCUAACUACGUG
rnacentral:rRNA from 1 species